UGUGCAGUUUGUUGUUUCAGUUUA
rnacentral:snRNA from 1 species